GCACCGAGGCAACAGUUUUGCAAUUUCCUUACUGUACAUGUGUUCAUCAGGACCUUGGAUUAUGAUAUGAUCUCUCUCUUUCCAUGUCCAGGCAUAUGUAGGUGACCUGCAACUCCGCGACAUGGAUUUGCUAGUGCCACAACAUAUGGUGUCUUGUGUUUUACGACCCAUGGUCUCUAGGUAACCGUUUUAUGUUACUCUCCUGCCUAUUCCAUUUUCUAACAAGCUGUUAUUCUUCUCAAGAAAAAGACAAUUAUUUCUACAAACAAGGGUGAGCACAAGUCAACUAACCCAGCUGCUGGGUUGCAGAAAUAAGCCAAAAAUACCCAAUCAAACAAAUGGUCCAGAUACACCUCUCUUAGGGGAGUGCAGCUUUACCCGAGACAGUGCUUAACCUUGUUUUGUAGACCGCUGGUCACUCUAACUUUAACUUUUUGAACCACAUUCCUUAGCAUCAAGGUAGUAACGAAAUCAUACACAUCCCAAUGCUAAUGAAAUUAAUUUAACGCUAAAGCUUUCACCAACAUUCUGCAAUUAAUAAUUAGGAACAUUUCAACCCAAAUGGACCAUGACUUAUCAGCACUCGGUCUACGUUCUCGUAUGUUUGGCCUGUGAACACGGCACCGUCCAAUGUGUAGCAAACAUGGUUAAAAUUUGUUUAACAUGCAGUUUAUGGAUAGUUUUGAAUGAAGGAAGACUUUUUAUUCAACUCAUUCAGCAUCUUUGCUUUUCCUCCAGACGCGUUCUUCUGCAUGUUACAGCUGCUUCCUGCAAGCACCAGAAAGAAAGACAAAGUAAGUUAUGCUACUUCAUUUAUGUUCUCUUCUCACAUUGGGCGCUACAUGUGGAUGAUGAUGCGCAGCACAAGGUAAAAUAAGAUGAAAUGAUCCAACAGGUUAUUGCAUAAAAUAAAGUACACGUUACGCUAAUUGCAUCAUUGUUAAACCCAUCUUAACAAAAUGCAUUGUGGAGGUAGUUAGCAUGAUUAUUCAAUUAACCGAUCAACCCAUUUACCGAUGAAGGUAUUAAUGUUGCUUGUUGGACAGAACUAGCUAAGGAAUAAAAAUGAUUUCUGUUGUUCUUUUUGAAAGUUAACCACGCUCCACAUCAGACACUGUCACGGUUUUUUUGUUUCAGUAGCAUCAGUUUAAGAAAGAGGCAUGUCCUUAGAUACAAAUACAAGCCAUGAACAAUGCAUUUGUGAUAGAUAAUAGUGUAGUGUAGAUAAAUAGCAGAAAGACAACAGUCCCUUAAAACAAGUUUGUGCUAUGCAUCUGAAGCAUGCUUCACAUGAAAUUGGUAGACAACAUUAUUAUUAAAUAUUAUAUUAGCAUGCUGACUACCCUUUUGGGGUACAAAAGUAAUUUAUGUUGUUCAUUUUAAAAGCCAAGCACUAUUAUUACACCUAGCCAGGACAUUCAGUAUUUCAGUUCAUAGAAAAGGUUAAAAAAAAGCAUGAGUACGCUGAUGUUCAUUUUAAAAGCGAAGCACCAUUAUUACACCUAGCCAGGACAUUCACUUCAUAGAGAAGGUUAAAAAAAAGCAUUCUUGUGCUGAUCUUGUUGUUUUGAUAGCAUCACUUCAGCAAACAACUUCACGACAUUAUUACUUCACGACAUUAUUAAACACUAUAUCAUGGUUUAGCAAUAUCACAGUAUGACUGAUCUUAUCAUCUCAAUAGUACCAGUUUAACAAAGAGACAUCUGUCCCUAGAAGCGAGUUUGUGCUACAACAUUAUUAAACAAGUUGGCAUGUGUAAGCAGCUUAACAAAGCACUGGCGUAGAUAAAUGAGCAUCAAUUGUUAGGCAUAUUCAAAUAUAUUAAUACAGUUAAAAAGCCAACAAAACAGAUGCCUAGCUAGUUGUACUUGAGUUCAUAUAGAGAGUAAAAAGAAAGCAUGAGUGUGCUGUGAAUAGCACCAGUUUAGCAAAGAAGCAUCUGUCCUUAUAAACAACUUUGUGCUAUGAAUAUGUAUGAAGCAUGCUUUGCAUCAAAUUGGUAGACAACAAUAUAAAAAAUACUACGUUAGCAUGGUUGAGCAAUUUAUUAACAAAGCAAAGGUAGAAAGGUAAUUUUGGGACAUUCGAGAUAAGUUUGCAUGGAUGUAUCUAGACAUGUCGCUCAUUUUGAAAGACGAGCGCUAGUAAUUAUUUCUUAGCUAGGACAUUCAGUUGCACCAGUUUAAGAAAGAGGCAUGUCCUUGGAAACAAGUACAAGCUAUGAACAAUGCAUUUGUGGUAGAUAAUAGUGUAGUGUAGAUAAAUAGCAAAAAGACAACAGUCCCUUGAAACAAGUUUGUGCUAUGCAUCUUGCUUCACAUGAAAUUGGUAGACAACAUUAUUAUUAAAUAUUAUAUUAGCAUGCUGACUACCCUUUUGGGGUACAACGCAGUGGUGAAGUCCUCCCCACUUGUGCCAAGAGGUCCUGGGUUCGAACCAGCCUCUCUGCAUUGCACUUUGCAGGGGUAAGACUAGGUUCCUAUAAUCCCUCCCCAGACCCCACCUUGUGUGGGAGCUUCUAUGCACUGGGUCUGUCCAUUUUAAAAGCAUGGUAGAGCAAUUUCAUAAAGUUAAGGUGUAGAUAAUACUUAGUGUAGAUAAAUAAACAUGCUUGGGGUUUCUCCCCUUUUGGGGUACAAAGUAAUUUAUGUUCAUUUUAAAAGCCAAGCACUAUUAUUACAUCUAGCCAGGACAUUCAGUUCAUAGAGAAGGUUAAAAAAAGCAUUAGUACGCUGUUGUUCAUUUUAAAAGCCAAGCACUAUUAUUACACCUAGCCAGGACAUUCACUUCAUAGGAAAGGUCAAAAAAAGCAUGAGUACGCUGAUCUUGUUGUUUCAAAAGCAUCAGUUUAGCAAAACAACAUCUGUCCCUAGAAACAAGUCCGAGCUAUGAAUGUGAAACAUGCUCCACAUCAAACAACUACUUCACGACGUUAUUAAAUACUAUAUCAUGGUUGAGCAAUAUCACAAAGCAAUGGUGUAGACAAUCGCAUAGAUAAAUAAACAUGCUUGGGAUUUCUCCCUAUUUGGGGUACAAAACUAAUUUCUCUUGUUCAUUCUGAAAGCCAAGCACCACUAUUAUUCCUUGCUAGCUGUACUUCAGUUCAUGGAAAGAUAAAAAAAGCAUGAGUAUGACUGAUCUUAUCAUCUCAACAGUACCAGUUUAGCAAAGAGACAUCUGUCCCUAGAACUGUCCUUGGAAACAAGUACAAGCCAUGAACAAUGCAUUUGUGGUAGAUAAUAGUGUAGUGUAGAUAAAUAGCAAAAAGACAACAGUCCCUUGAAACAAGUUUGUGCUACGCAUCUAAAGCAUGCUUCACAUGAAAUUGGUAGACAACAUUAUUAUUAAAUAUUAUGUUAGCAUGGUAGAGCAAUUUCAUAAAGUGAUGGUGUAGAUAAUACUUAGUGUAGAUAAAUAAACAUGCUUGGGGUUUCUCCCCUUUUGGGGUACAAAGUAAUUUAUGUUGUUCAUUUUAAAAGCCAAGCACUAUUAUUGACAUUCAGUUCAUAGAGAAGGUUCAAAAAAGCAUUAGUACGCUGUUGUUCAUUUUAAAAGCCAGGCACUAUUAUUACACCUAGCCAGGACAUUCACUUCAUAGGAAAGGUCAAAAAAAGCAUGAGUACGUUGAUCUUGUUGUUUCAAAAGCAUCAGUUUAGCAAAACAACAUCUGUCCCUAGAAACAAGUCCGAGCUAUGAAUGUGAAACAUGCUCCACAUCAAACAACUUCACGACAUUAUUAAAUACUAUAUCAUGGUUGAGCAAUAUCGCAAAGCGAUGGUGUAGACAAUCGCAUAGAUAAAUAAACAUGCUUGGGAUUUCUCCCUAUUUGGGGUACAAAACUAAUUUCUCUUGUUCAUUCUGAAAGACAAGCACCACUAUUAUUCCUUGCUAGCUGUACUUCAGUUCAUGGAAGCUAAAAAAAAGCAUGAGUAUGACUGAUCUUAUCAUCUCAACAGUACCAGUUUAGCAAAGAGACAUCUGUCCCUAGAAGAGUUUGUGCUACAACAUUAUUAAAAGGCCAUAAUAUAUUGUUAGGCAUAUUCAAAUAUAUGAGCAUAUGUUAGGCAUAUUCAAAUAUAUUGACACAAUCAAAAGGCCAACAAAACACAUGCCAGCCACACUAUUGAGUGGCCCACUGCCUAGCGGUAGUAAUUAUUAGAGAGGUAAAGGAAAGCAUGAGUGUGCUGUGAAUAGCCCCGGUUUAGCAAAGAGGCAUCUGUCCUUAUAAACAACAUUGUGCUAUGAAUAUGUCAUGCUUUGCAUCAAAUUGUUAGACAACAAUAUAAAAAUACUAUGUUACCAUGGUUGAGCAAUUUAUUAACAAAGCAAAGGUAGAAAGGUAAUUUUGGGACAUUCAAGACAAGUUUGCAUGGAUGUAUCUAGACACGUCGUUCAUUUUGAAAGACAAGCGAUAGUAAUUAUUUCCUAGCUAGAACAUUCAGUUGAACCUGUUUAAGAAAGAGGCAUUUCCUUAGAAACAAGUUUGAGCCAUGAGCAUGCAGCAUGUUUCACAACAUUAUUGAACAAGUUAGAAUGGUUAUGGUGUAGGUAAAUAAGCAUCAGUUGUUAGGCAUGUUCAAAUGUAUUGACACAAUAAACAAAUUUCCAUGCCAACAAAAGACAUGGCAGCCACACCUUUGAGUGGCCCACUGCCUAGCGGUAAGCAAUUUUAGGCGCCUUUAUGGCUUGCAAAAAGACCAAGGAGAAAUAAAUUCUACUCCUUCCAUCCCUAGUUAAGUUGACUUGGAUCUGUCUGGAUACAUCGGCGCAUCUAGACAAACCUGAGUCAAUUAAUUCGGGACAGUUCACUUCUGAGGUAAAGGAGGAUAAUAUAUGUGUCCUUGCACCUGCUUGAGAAUCACUGCCUAGUAAACAUUAUGAUGUGUAAGUGAUGUUUUAAUCGGCAAAGCCAAAUUCAAACAUGCUGGCAACAGUAGUAUGGAGAUUAGCAUUUGUUGAAAAUCCUUCUAGCUUGAAAGUAGACUAAUAUGCAAUUGUGUGCAUCUCAUGUAUCUUAUUUGGAAUGAAAUAUGCAGGUUUUAUGACUAACUAGGCGCAUCUCUCAAGAUGUCAGUCACAAUUUAUCUUAUCCUACCGGAAGGACAUGACUUCUUUUCCAAAAACUGAGCUGCUGGAGUUUUGAAGUGUAAACUGAGAUGUACAUUUCGACUGAUGUUCCUUGUAAAAUGGGGGCUGCUGCAAAACAGUAGUAUGAAUGCUGGCACAUGCAUAUGUUAAUCACAUCAAUUGUUUGUUUGAUUGACUUGUCCAAAGGAAUAGUUACCUAGGCACACUCAGUAUGGGUGGCCCCUGCUCCCCUUGCAGCGUCUCUUCCCUGUUUCCGCGUUGCUGAUGUGUUCCUCCAGAGCCAGAGCUUUCUUCUGGUCCCUUUCCUUGGCCUUGGCCUGCUCAAACCUGCAAGAAAAUCCAACCAAUAAUAACAUGAAAACGAGUGAAAUCAGACUACUGAAUCAAUUCGACAGGUUGAAACAGGAGGGCAUCGCACCAGUCUCUCUGGCAUCGUGCCUGGUAGUCGAGGAACGAGG
rnacentral:lncRNA from 1 species